rnacentral:rRNA from 1 species
UACGUAGGCAGCAAGCGUUGUUCGGAAUUACUGGGCGUAAAGGGUGCGUAGGCGGCGCUCUAAGUUUGGUGUGAAAUCUCCCGGCUUAACUGGGAGGGUGCACUGAAGACUGGGGCGCUCGAGUAUGGGAGAGGAAAGCGGAAUUCCUGGUGUAGCGGUGAAAUGCGUAGAGAUCAGGAGGAACACCUGCGGUGUAGACGGCUUUCUGGACCAUCACUGACGCUGAGGCACGAAAGCGUGGGUAGCAAACAGG